rnacentral:rRNA from 1 species
GACGAACGCUGGCGGCGUGCUUAACACAUGCAAGUCGAACGGAAAGGCCCUGCUUUUGUGGGGUGCUCGAGUGGCGAACGGGUGAGUAACACGUGAGUAACCUGCCCUUGACUUUGGGAUAACUUCAGGAAACUGGGGCUAAUACCGGAUAGGAGCUCCUGCUGCAUGGUGGGGGUUGGAAAGUUUCGGCGGUUGGGGAUGGACUCGCGGCUUAUCAGCUUGUUGGUGGGGUAGUGGCUUACCAAGGCUUUGACGGGUAGCCGGCCUGAGAGGGUGGCCGGCCACAUUGGGACUGAGAUACGGCCCAGACUCCUACGGGAGGCAGCAGUGGGGAAUAUUGCACAAUGGGCGGAAGCCUGAUGCAGCAACGCCGCGUGCGGGAUGACGGCCUUCGGGUUGUAAACCGCUUUCGCCUGUGACGAAGCGUGAGUGACGGUACUGGGUAAAGAAGCACCGGCUAACUACGUG